AAAACUGGAUCGAAAAGAUUUGUAAUAAUUUUACUGAUCAAUGCAGGAAGGAUGCAGCUGAAGUCAAAUAGAGGUCAAUCAAACAAAUUGGCGAUGUUUAUGAAUUGAUGGAUUAUCAAUGGGCCCAGCAUGUAAUAGCUUUUAAAAACUUCCAAUAUGAAAAGAAUAUUACCUGGUGGUAACAUGAUAAAUGUAUUAACAAAUGAAAUGGUCCAAGAUAAAGAAAAUGCUAUUAUGUUGGCACGUAUUUAUGUUGCACGAGAAUAUAGAUUUUAUAUUGAAUUGAUUUCUAACAGAGAUAGAGGAUGAGACCGAUAGCAGAAAACGGAAAAACAGAAGUAUCUUCCGAAGAAGUUUAACACGCAUCCGAGUUAUAUGAAAAUUUUAAAUUUGUUCAACGGCGAUGAUACGUAGCUUUGGUACAGCUCGAAUUUAAAAGAAGGAAAGAAGAGAGAAUACAUAUUUGCUUUAUGCGUAUAUUGAGAGCAC